UACGGGGGGAGCAAGCGUUGUUCGGAUUUACUGGGCGUAAAGGGCGCGUAGGCGGUCAGUGCAAGUCAGUUGUGAAAUCUCCGAGCUUAACUCGGAAAGGUCAACUGAUACUGCUCGACUAGAGUGCGGAAGGGGCAACUGGAAUUCUUGGUGUAGCGGUGAAAUGCGUAGAUAUCAAGAGGAACACCUGCGGCGAAGGCGGGUUGCUGGGCCGACACUGACACUGAUGCGCGAAAGCUAGGGGAGCGAACGGG
rnacentral:rRNA from 1 species